CCCGAGUAGGCCACAAGUAGGCCUCAGGUCUAUCCCCUGGAUGCAGUCACCUAGCUUGGUUGCUGACUCGAUUGGGUAUUUCUUUCAUUGCAGACCCCUGUCUCUGGGGCUUGAAAGCAGGCGAUUUAUAGUUUGUUGAGGUAAUUGUGGCUUAUUUUGGGCUUCUUAGCCCGGAGCUCCUCAGAAGUACGACCGCUCAGCUUGGCCGUCAAACUCUGC